rnacentral:rRNA from 1 species
UACGUAGGGUGCGAGCGUUGUCCGGAAUUAUUGGGCGUAAAGGGCUCGUAGGCGGCUUGUUGCGUCGACCGUGAAAACCCGGGGCUCAACUUCGGGCUUGCGGUCGAUACGGGCGGGCUAGAGUUCGGUAGGGGAGACUGGAAUUCCUGGUGUAGCGGUGAAAUGCGCAGAUAUCAGGAGGAACACCGGUGGCGAAGGCGGGUCUCUGGGCCGAUACUGACGCUGAGGAGCGAAAGCGUGGGGAGCGAACG